rnacentral:rRNA from 1 species
CGCGUAGGUGGUCCUUCAAGUCAGAUGUUAAAUCUCUCGGCUUAACUGGGAGCUGUCAUCUGAUACUGCUGGACUUGAGGGUGGUAGAGGGAGGUGGAAUUCCCGGUGUAGUGGUGAAAUGCGUAGAUAUCGGGAGGAACACCAGUGGCGAAAGCGGCCUCCUAGGCCAUUCCUGACACUGAGGCGCGAAAGCGUGGGGAGCGAACAGGAUCAGAUACCCUGGUAGUCCACGCCCUAAACUGUGGAAACUAGGUACAGGGAGUAUCGACCCUUCCUGCGCCGUAGCUAACGCGUUAAGUUUCCCGCCUGGGGACUACGGUCGCAAGACUAAA